GUGCUAGUUUUGGCAGCACAUAUACUAAAAUUGGAACGAUACAGAGAAGAUAAUCAUGGCCCCUGCACAAAGAUGACACUCAAAUUAGUGAAGCGUUCCAUGUUUUU
rnacentral:snRNA from 1 species